GUGCAGCCCCCUGUUCUGUAGGAUUGUUAGGUACCAAUAACCAAUCGAUCAAUAAAUACCAGAAGAGAUGCCGUAGAUCAGCAAACCAGACAUUCAGCAUGACAAGGUGGACGAAGGACGGGCGAGUAAGCGUGAGGAAGUGGAAGGGGAGCGUUCGGUAAGACGCCAUCAUGAGACCCAGGAGGCAGGCAUUCAGUUAUCACAAAGAACCAGAAAAAACAAAUACGCACUCCAACCUCAUGGACAGAGAGAGGACACAAACGAACAACGCCGAGACCCAGUCGGGACUGGGAGACGGGAACAGAACCGUAGCAGAGCUCACGGCAGCAAGAGGGCUUUGUGGGCAGCGCCAGGACCGGAAACCGACCCAUUCCUAGAGCAGCCGCCUUAUCAGCACCGACUCAGGAAGAAAGAGUAUAAGCCCCACCGUCUCUGCAGCCAUUAAAGGAAGAUAAAAUCUCCCCUCCAGGAAAUGUCAAGCGCAGAUGACGGUGCAGACAAGCCGCCGAGCUGGGAAUCCUGCACCAACUCUUCAGGUAAUGGGGCCGGGACAGCAGGACGCGGCUGGGCCUGCCGCAUGCAGCUCACGUCCCACCACUCCAAACCCGAAAGCAGAUGCUGACCAGCUUUGCUCCUGAACAGAGCUGCCAGCAAACCAGCAGGAGGUGUGGGGAGGAGGGGAAGGCCAGGAGGGCCUCUUGGGCUUUGCCCACCAGGAGAUCCCUCAAUAGAUUCAAAACUAUGUUGACAGGCUUUAUCAAUCGAGGAAAGCAAAGUAUAAGAUUUAACAUCUGUCCAUGAGUUUAACAAACUUAGACCACAAGGAGAAGAGAAUAGCCGUUGAAGACAACGUACAUACCUUGUUUUCUUUCUUUUUGGUGGUGCUCAGUGUGAACCCAGGGCCUUGCACAUGCCAGGCAAGUGCUCUACCACCUAGUCCCAGCCAUAGCCAAAAUGGUUUAUUUUUAUUUAUUUGCUUAUGGUACUAGGGAUUGAGCCCAGGGACGUCAACCAUUGAGUGACAUUCCCAGUCCUUUUUAUUUUUUAUUUUGAGGUAGGGUCUCGCUAAGUUGCUGACGCUGGCUUUGAAUCUGCCAUCCUCCAGUCUCAGUUUCCCUGAGUAGUCGGGAUCACAGAGCGAAUCCCUGUGCCUGGCUAACACAGAUUAUUUUUUAAAAAUUAACAAAACCAUGCUGGGGUGCAGCUCAGUGGUAGAGCACGUGUUUAGCAUGUGAAAGGCCCCAACACAGCAAAAACUAAUUUUUUAAUUUUUUUGUACUGGAGAUUAAACCCAGGGAAGCUUUACCAUCCAGUUACAUUCCCUGCGCUUUUUAUUUUUUAUUUUGAGACAGGGUCUUGCUAAACUACUUAGGGCCUCACUAAGUUGCUGAGGCUGGCUUCGAACUUGCGAUCCUCCUGCCUCAGCCUCCCAAACUGCUGGGAUUACGGGCAUGUGCCACUGCGCCCAGCCAAAAUAAUUUUUUAAAACAACAAACUCAAUGGUAGAAUAUUAAAAACUUUCUCUUGAAAAUUAGGAACAACUGAAAGACGUCCGAUCUUACCACUUUGAGUCCACAUGAUAACAGAGAUGCUGGGCAGCUCAGGAAGACAAGCAAGACAAGAACACGAGGGAACUGGAAAGGAAGACACGAGACCAGUCAGAGAUGUAUUUGAAUGGCUUUCCCAGAAAACCCUCAGGGGGCCUGGGGCCGGGGCUCAGCGGUGCAAGCUCUUCAUGCCCAGGCCUUGGGUUCUGUCCCCAAGGCCCAAACCAAGGGAAAUAGAGAACCCUAGGGAACACAGGAUAGGCUGUGAAGCAUUUAGAUACGUUGCUGCAUACAAAAUCAGAGUGCUAAGAUUGACCACGUGUCUACAGUGUUGUCGCACCAACGGCCGUCUGCAAAAAUAGGUAAUAAACACGGUGCAGUUUGCAAUCGCACUUAGAAAGAAACACUGAAAAGCAUCAAGACCUCGACGGGGAGCGCCAUACAUUUGCCUGACAGACCUUAAAAGAACUGCACAAACAGUGUCCCGUCAUGUUUUUGAAGACAUAACCUCAAAAUAAAUCAAUUCUCUCCCAGCCAACCUACAGACUCAAUGUUAUUUCAAUCCAGACUCCAGUGAUUGCUUCUGCUUUGUUUUGAAUUUGUUGAACCGCAUCCUUAAUUUGCAGGUUACAAGAUAGUGACAUAAAUAGAAUCUCAUUUUUACAAGGCAAACAUGAACACGUAAAUGCUCUGGGGAAAUCCAGGUGCCACUCAGUUGGGUUCUUAUCGACUUCUAAGCUCCUUCUUGUUGGCAAAAUUCAGAUCCUUCUGGUGUGGGACUAAGGUCCCUGUUUCCUUGCUGGAUGGCAGCUGGCAGCGAUUCUCAGCACCUAGACUGUCCCCGCUGCUUGCCACAGGACACAUCCACACCAGCAAGAGUGCACUGAGUGCCCCUCAUGCUUUGAGUCUCUGACUUCCUUUCCUGGGACCAUCUGGAGAAAACUCUUUGCAUUCAAAGGGUAGUGUGGUUAGGCGAAACCCACCUGAAUAUUUUCUUUUAUAAGGUCAACGGAUUUGGAACCUUCAUUAUAUCUGUAAAUCCCCUUCACAGUAGUACCUAGAUUAGUGCUGGAUCAAAUAGCUGGAACAAAGGGUGUCUACACCUGGCGCCUGGGAUUUUAUUGUGGGGGGACAUCUUAGAAUUAUGCCAGCCUUGCUGAGAUUAUGGAUUGUGUGCAUGCUUUUGUGUAUUUUACAAUGGCGCUACAUGGAUUUGGGGUUAACCGGGUGCACUGGUACACACCUGUAAUCGUAGCAACUCAGAAGGCUG
rnacentral:lncRNA from 1 species